rnacentral:rRNA from 1 species
GAUGAACGCUGGCGGCGUGCCUAAUACAUGCAAGUCGAGCGAACGGACGAGACGCUUGCUUUUCUGAUGUUAGCGGCGGACGGGUGAGUAACACGUGGAUAACCUACCUAUAAGACUGGUAUAACUUCGGGAAACCGGAGCUAAUACCGGAUAAUAUUUUGAACCGCAUGGUUCAAUAGUGAAAGACGGUCUUGCUGUCACUUCUCGCUGGAUCCGCGCUGCAUUAGCUAGUUGGUAAGGUAACGGCUUACCAAGGCAACGAUGCAUAGCCGACGUGAGAGGGGGAUAGGCCACACUGGAACUGAGACACGGACAAGACUCCUAAGGGAGGCAGCAGUAGGGAAUCUGACGCAAUGGGCGAAAGUAUGACGGAGCAACGGCGCGUGAGUGAUGAAGGUCUUCGGAGCGUAAAAAUGUGUUAUGAGGGAAGAACAGAUGUGUAAGUAACUGUGCACAGCGUGACGGUAACUAAUCAGAAAGCCACGGCUAACUACGUG